rnacentral:rRNA from 1 species
GAUUUAGCGGCCGCAAUCCUUGUGCCAGCAGCCGCGGUGAUACGUAGGUCCCGAGCGUUGUCCGGAUUUAUUGGGCGUAAAGCGAGCGCAGGCGGUUUGAUAAGUCUGAAGUUAAAGGCUGUGGCUCAACCAUAGUUCGCUUUGGAAACUGUCAAACUUGAGUGCAGAAGGGGAGAGUGGAAUUCCAUGUGUAGCGGUGAAAUGCGUAGAUAUAUGGAGGAACACCGGUGGCGAAAGCGGCUCUCUGGUCUGUAACUGACGCUGAGGCUCGAAAGCGUGGGGAGCGAACAGGAUUAGAUACCCUGGUAGUCCACGCCGUAAACGAUGAGUGCUAGGUGUUGGCAGUGCCGCAGCUAACGCAUUAAGCACUCCGCCUGGGGAGUACGACCGCAAGGUUGAAACUCAAAGGAAUUGACGGGGGCCCGCACAAGCGGUGGAGCAUGUGGUUUAAUUCGAAGCAACGCGAAGAACCUUACCAGGUCUUGACAUCCAGGUGGUGCAUGGUUGUCGUCAGCUCGUGUCGUGAGAUGUUGGG